rnacentral:lncRNA from 1 species
UGGGCUGUCAAGGAUUCCCAACUCACGGCUGUGAGUGCAUCAAUGUCCACAACCUUUCUGUCUUCGCAUUGCAACCCUCAGAGGUAUGUCAUCACUUCUCUUUCAUAUUCAUAAAUGCAUAUAUCUAUAGGGUUUAGCUGUGUUAGGUACGAAGGAUAAUGGUUUAGUGGAAUAAAAAACAGUUAAUUGAUGGUGAUGAAUAGAGGUUAUAGCUUUAGUUAAAGCUUCUAGUCGAUAGUUAUCUAACAACUUGUUUGAUAACUGUCUAGUCAAUUGUUUUCAAUAGUAGUUAACGCUUUAGUUAAACUCCAACGCAUCAACUCUUCUUUAAACUGCUUCUUCUCUUCCUUUCUUCUGCUUUAAACUCCAACGCAUCUGCUUCUUGAUCGGUGCUCUUUUAUUUACUUCUUCUCUUCCUUUCUUCUUUUUUUAAACUCCAACGCAUCAUCCUCUCCUCCUCUGUUUUCUUUUUCGUCUGAUCUUCUUUUCAUUCAUUAUGGAUUAUUCUUCUUCACAUCCAUUCACUCAAUCAUCUAACUUCGUUGAUCUUCUAAAUAGUCAACAAGAACUUCCUCUUCAUGAUCCCUUUUCUUCUCAAAGCCAAAUCCCUCUGUUCAGCAGUCAAUGCACCGAAGCCUUCAGCUACAACGAAGAGAGCCCUGCAGAGCGCAAAGAAAGAAAGAUGGACUCCAAUCGAUGAUGUGCUUCUCAUAUCCACCUGGCUAAACACGUCAAAGGACCUGGUGGUGGGCAAUGAGCAGAAGUCUGGUGCCUUCUGGAAAAGGAUAGCAGCAUACUUUGCUGCCACUCCGAAAGUUGCAGGGAGAGAAAGAAGAGAAGCAGCCACAUGUAAGGCAAGAUGGCAAAAAACAAAUGACUUGGUGUGCAAGUUCUGUGGUGCUUAUGAGGCUGCAACAAGGGAGAGAGCUUCUAGAAUGAAUGAAAAUGAUGUGCUGAAACUCGCACAUGACCAUAAAAAAAAAAAUUUUACCUUGGACCAUGCGUGGAAGGAGCUACGGAUUGACAAAAAGUGGUGUGAGGAAUUUGUUCAAAGAGCUGAAGGCGUUGCUAAAAGGAGAAGAUGCGAUGAGGGUCCAAAUUGACCAACUUCUGUCGCACAAGAAAAGAACAAUGGUGAAGAUAACCAAGGAAGCAACAGGCUACCAGGUGUUGAAAGCUGCAAAAAUUAAAGUAAAGAAGAAAGUGGAGGAUGGCAAGGCUUUCUCAGAGUUCCAAGGUAUGUGGUUGCUUAAGGAGAAAGACAUGGCAAUGAAAGAGAGGAUUCAGAAGGUGGGACUUCUUGACAGCCUCAUCGCCAAGAAAGAGCUCUUAUCAAAGUAUGAAGAAGCACU